rnacentral:rRNA from 1 species
UACGUAGGGUGCGAGCGUUGUCCGGAAUUAUUGGGCGUAAAGAGCUCGUAGGCGGUUUGUCGCGUCUGCUGUGAAACCCGAGCUCAACCUCGGCCUGCAGUGGUACGGGCAGACUAGAGUGCGGUAGGGAGAUUGGAAUUCCUGGUGUAGCGGUGGAAUGCGCAGAUAUCAGGAGGAACACCAAUGGCGAAGGCAGAUCUCUGGGCCGUAACUGACGCUGAGGAGCGAAAGCAUGGGGAGCGAACAGG